UUGAGCGAUUUACUUCGGUAAGAGCGGCGGACGGGUGAGUAACGCGUGGGUAACCUACCCUGUACACACGGAUAACAUACCGAAAGGUAUGCUAAUACGGGAUAAUAUAUUUGAGAGGCAUCUCUUGAAUAUCAAAGGUGGGCCAGUACAGGAUGGACCCGCGUCUGAUUAGCUAGUUGGUAAGGUAACGGCUUACCAAGGCGACGAUCAGUAGCCGACCUGAGAGGGUGAUCGGCCACAUUGGAACUGAGACACGGUCCAAACUCCUACGGGAGGCAGCAGUGGGGAAUAUUGCACAAUGGGCGAAAGCCUGAUGCAGCAACGCCUCGUGAGUGAUGAAGGCCUUCGGGUCGUAAAACUCUGUCCUCAAGGAAGAUAAUGACGGUACUUGAGGAGGAAGCCCCGGCUAACUACGUGCCAGCAGCCGCGGUAAUACGUAGGGGGCUAGCGUUAUCCGGAUUUACUGGGCGUAAAGGGUGCGUAGGCGGUCUUUCAAGUCAGGAGUGAAAGGCUACGGCUCAACCGUAGUAAGCUCUUGAAACUGGGAGACUUGAGUGCAGGAGAGGAGAGUGGAAUUCCUAGUGUAGCGGUGAAAUGC
rnacentral:rRNA from 1 species